rnacentral:rRNA from 1 species
GGACUACUAGGGUAUCUAAUCCUGUUUGCUCCCCACGCUUUCGCUCCUCAGCGUCAGGUCAGGCCCAGAGAACCGCCUUCGCCACCGGUGUUCCUCCCGAUAUCUGCGCAUUUCACCGCUACACCGGGAAUUCCAUUCUCCCCUACCUGCCUCUAGUCCGCCCGUAUCCACUGCAAGCCCGGGGUUGAGCCCCGGGUUUUCACAGCAGACGUAGCGGACCGCCUACGAGCUCUUUACGCCCAAUAAUUCCGGACAACGCUUGCGCCCUACGUGUUACCGCGGCUGCUGGCAC